rnacentral:rRNA from 1 species
GACGAACGCUGGCGGCGUGCUUAACACAUGCAAGUCGAACGGUGAAGGGACCGGUUUUUGCUGGUUCUGGAUGAGUGGCGAACGGGUGAGUAACACGUGAGUAACCUGCCCCCUUCUUCUGGAUAACCGCAUGAAAGUGUGGCUAAUACGGGAUAUUCUGCGCCUGCUGCAUGGUGGGUGUGGGAAAGAUAUUGUUUCGGUGGGGGAUGGGCUCGCGGCCUAUCAGCUUGUUGGUGGGGUGAUGGCCUACCAAGGCGGUGACGGGUAGCCGGCCUGAGAGGGUGGCCGGGCACAGUGGGAGAGAGGCAAGACUCAGACUCCGACGGGAGGCAGCAGUGGGGGGUAGUGAGCAAUGGGCGCAAGUCUGAUGCAGGGAGGCCGCGUGAGGGAUGGAGGCGUUCGGGUUGUAAACGUCUUUCGCCAGUAAAGCAGGCCUGUCCGUUAUGUGGGUGGAUUGACGGUAGCUGGAUAAGAAGCGCCGGCUAACUACGUG